rnacentral:rRNA from 1 species
UACGGGGGGAGCAAGCGUUGUUCGGAUUUACUGGGCGUAAAGAGCGUGUAGGCGGCCAGACAAGUCUGCUGUGAAAACUCGAGGCUCAACCUCGAGCUGUCGGUGGAAACUGUCUGGCUAGAGUCCGGAAGAGGAGAGUGGAAUUCCUGGUGUAGCGGUGAAAUGCGCAGAUAUCAGGAAGAACACCUAUGGCGAAGGCAGCUCUCUGGGAACGGUACUGACGCUGAGACGCGAAAGCUGGGGGAGCGAAACAGG